UACGUAGGGUGCGAGCGUUGUCCGGAAUUAUUGGGCGUAAAGAGCUUGUAGGCGGUCUGUCGCGUCUGCUGUGAAAAUCCGGGGCUCAACCCCGGACUUGCAGUGGGUACGGGCAGACUAGAGUGUGGUAGGGGAGACUGGAAUUCCUGGUGUAGCGGUGAAAUGCGCAGAUAUCAGGAGGGAACACCGAGUGGCGAAGGCAGGUCUCUGGGCC
rnacentral:rRNA from 1 species